rnacentral:lncRNA from 1 species
AGAAUGAUACAAAGAUUUAUUUGAGGUAAUUCAGUCUUCUCUGAGCAUAAUUAAAUAUAAAUAAGUCAUGGUUUUGUUACAUUAAUAACUAGGACUUGAAAAAUCAUCUAACAGCAAUUAUACAUAAACACAUAUAAUUUUAUUAUUUUCACAUAUAUUUUGAUACAUAUUUAUAAUACAAAUGGAAAAAUACAGAAAUUAAAACAGGGCACAUGUCUCGAGGUAAUAUGGGUGUCUUUUUCCAUUUUACAGCCAAUUUCAAUGAGUAUGUAGCUAAAUGUAAUAUCUUUGAUAAGCUUGCUUACUAGCUGAACCGUGAAGUCAUUGUUAUGAAAGGUAUACUACCCUCCAUUCGAAGUAGCCUAGUCCUACAGACAGAUAGAUUGGUUUACUGUCAGACUAGUCUACUCGUAAAGGAGGGUCAUUUACCUAACCUAACAAUGACUUCACUGUUCAGCUAGCAAGCAAGCUAACCAAAGAUAUUACCUUUAGCUACAUACUCAUUGAAAUUGGCUGUAAAAGCACUCAAAAGUUCGUAUUCAACACCAUCUUACAAAAUUAAACAAUAUAAAUAGGUUUAUUUAAAUUAUUAAAUACAAAUUAAUAGUAUGGAAUUUAGCAAAUAUUUUUACUUUCCUUAAUGCUUUUAAUAUCAGACAAUACCUUACAUUGAAAAAAAAAACAAGUGAGCCUGAAGAACUUAGAGUGCUGACUUGUAAAAAUUGAAUUAAAAGGCAACAACCAAAGAUUUGUAAAAAUCUUAAAUUUAAAGCAAUACCACAUAUACUGCGUCAUCCAGUUGAUUUGUCCACAUUGGGAUCUUUGAUUAUCUUGUUUUGCUGAUCACGUUUGUUUUUUUCUGUUUCUGUACCUAUCUUAUAUCAUUUAAGAGAUAAUAAACAAAUGUAUUAGUAAAAACACAAUUAUCUUUUAAGGUCAAUUUCUUCUAUAAGGGGUUAUCAAUUUUUUUAUAUUUAUAUUGACAUUAUUGUAGAACUGGUAUAUAAUCAUCAUUUUUGCAGUUUAGAAUUAGUUAUAUUUCCAAAAGAAAAGUCAAAAAUUUAAACAAAAAUAAAAAGUUAUUUAAAAAAUCUGUUUCCUCUAUCUAUUUUAGUUCUCGAGAUAUAAGGCAAAAACUAUGACUUUGGCAAUUGCUUCUGGAGUUAUUCAAUUGUUUCAGUCAUACAUCAAUUUUUUUGUAAAUAUUGUAUUGCUGAUAAUUUUUGCUGUUAACAUUUUCUACUUAUCUUUUAUAAUUUUUAAACUAAUAGGCAAAAAUUCGAAAAUUAGUAAAAACCAGGGUAAUAACUCUUAUAAGGAUUCAUAUGAUAAUUUUGGUAAAAAUAGUAAGGACAUAGAUCUUAACAUCUAAGAAUAUUUGCAGUAAAAUUUUCUUUAUCGAUCAAGAUAUUAGAGAUCAUUAGAUAACAAAUGUAUUUU